GUUGUAUGGUUAAGUGACUAAGCGUACACGGUGGAUGCCUUGGCAGUCAGAGGCGAUGAAAGACGUAGUAACUUGCGAUAAGCCCAGAUUAGGUAGUAACAACCAUUUGAGUCUGGGAUUUCUGAAUGGGGAAACCCACGUGCAUAAGCACGUAUCCUUACCUGAAUACAUAGGGUAAGGAGGCGAACCGGGGGAACUGAAACAUCUAAGUACCCCGAGGAAAAGAAAUCAACCGAGAUUCCGAAAGUAGCGGCGAGCGAAAUUGGACUAGCCCUUAAGCUUUACACGCGUUAGACGAACGGUCUGGAAAGUCCGACGAUACAGGGUGAUAGUCCCGUAGUUGACGACGUGUGUUCAGUGAAAUCGAGUAGGGCGGGACACGUGAUAUCCUGUCUGAAUAUGGGGGGACCAUCCUCCAAGGCUAAAUACUACUGACUGACCGAUAGUGAACCAGUACCGUGAGGGAAAGGCGAAAAGAACCCCUGUGAGGGGAGUGAAAUAGAACCUGAAACCGUGUACGUACAAGCAGUAGGAGCAGGCUUUGUCCUGUGACUGCGUACCUUUUGUAUAAUGGGUCAGCGACUUAUAUUCAGUGGCAAGGUUAACCAUCUAGGGGAGCCGUAGGGAAACCGAGUCUUAACUGGGCGUUCAGUCUCUGGAUAUAGACCCGAAACCAGGUGAUCUAGCCAUGGGCAGGUUGAAGGUUGAGUAACAUCAACUGGAGGACCGAACCGACUAAUGUUGAAAAAUUAGCGGAUGACUUGUGGCUAGGGGUGAAAGGCCAAUCAAACCUGGAGAUAGCUGGUUCUCCCCGAAAGCUAUUUAGGUAGCGCCUCGGACGAAUACUACUGGGGGUAGAGCACUGUUAAGGCUAGGGGGUCAUCCCGACUUACCAACCCUUUGCAAACUCCGAAUACCAGUAAGUACUAUCCGGGAGACACACGGCGGGUGCUAACGUCCGUCGUGGAGAGGGAAACAACCCAGACCGCCAGCUAAGGUCCCAAAUUACUACUAAGUGGGAAACGAUGUGGGAAGGCUCAGACAGCCAGGAUGUUGGCUUAGAAGCAGCCAUCAUUUAAAGAAAGCGUAAUAGCUCACUGGUCGAGUCGGCCUGCGCGGAAGAUGUAACGGGGCUAAGUAGUAAACCGAAGCUGCGGCAAUGUGCUUUUGCACAUUGGGUAGGGGAGCGUUCUGUAAGCGGUUGAAGGUGUGUGGUAACGCAUGCUGGACGUAUCAGAAGUGCGAAUGCUGACAUGAGUAACGAUAAAGGGGGUGAAAAACCUCCUCGCCGGAAGACCAAGGGUUCCUGUCCAACGUUAAUCGGGGCAGGGUAAGUCGACCCCUAAGGCGAGGCCGAAAGGCGUAGUCGAUGGGAAACGGGUUAAUAUUCCCGUACUUCUUACAAUUGCGAUGGGGGGACGGAGAAGGCUAGGUGGGCCUGGCGACGGUUGUCCAGGUUCAAGUGCGUAGGCUUAAGAGUUAGGUAAAUCCGGCUCUUUUUAAGGCUGAGACACGACGUCGAGCACCUACGGGUGUGAAGUCAUUGAUGCCAUGCUUCCAGGAAAAGCCUCUAAGCUUCAGAUUGUAAGGAAUCGUACCCCAAACCGACACAGGUGGUCGGGUAGAGAAUACCAAGGCGCUUGAGAGAACUCGGGUGAAGGAACUAGGCAAAAUGGUACCGUAACUUCGGGAGAAGGUACGCUCUUGAUGGUGAAGUCCCUUGCGGAUGGAGCUGACGAGAGUCGCAGAUACCAGGUGGCUGCAACUGUUUAUUAAAAACACAGCACUGUGCAAAAUCGUAAGAUGACGUAUACGGUGUGACGCCUGCCCGGUGCCGGAAGGUUAAUUGAUGGGGUUAGACUUCGGUCGAAGCUCUUGAUCGAAGCCCCGGUAAACGGCGGCCGUAACUAUAACGGUCCUAAGGUAGCGAAAUUCCUUGUCGGGUAAGUUCCGACCUGCACGAAUGGCGUAAUGAUGGCCACGCUGUCUCCACCCGAGACUCAGUGAAAUUGAAAUCGCUGUGAAGAUGCAGUGUACCCGCGGCUAGACGGAAAGACCCCGUGAACCUUUACUACAGCUUGGCACUGAACAUUGACCCUACAUGUGUAGGAUAGGUGGGAGGCUUUGAAGCACGUACGCCAGUAUGUGUGGAGCCGUCCUUGAAAUACCACCCUUGUAGUGUUGAUGUUCUAACGUCGACCCCUUAUCGGGGUUGCGGACAGUGCCUGGUGGGUAGUUUGACUGGGGCGGUCUCCUCCCAAAGAGUAACGGAGGAGCACGAAGGUGGGCUAAUCACGGUUGGACAUCGUGAGGUUAGUGCAAUGGCAUAAGCCCGCUUGACUGCGAGAAUGACAAUUCGAGCAGGUGCGAAAGCAGGUCAUAGUGAUCCGGUGGUUCUGAAUGGAAGGGCCAUCGCUCAACGGAUAAAAGGUACUCCGGGGAUAACAGGCUGAUACCGCCCAAGAGUUCAUAUCGACGGCGGUGUUUGGCACCUCGAUGUCGGCUCAUCACAUCCUGGGGCUGAAGUCGGUCCCAAGGGUAUGGCUGUUCGCCAUUUAAAGUGGUACGCGAGCUGGGUUUAGAACGUCGUGAGACAGUUCGGUCCCUAUCUGCCGUGGGCGUUGGAAGAUUGAAGGGGGCUGCUCCUAGUACGAGAGGACCGGAGUGGACGAACCUCUGGUGUUCGGGUUGUGUCGCCAGACGCAUUGCCCGGUAGCUAAGUUCGGAAUCGAUAACCGCUGAAAGCAUCUAAGCGGGAAGCGAGCCCUGAGAUGAGUCUUCCCUGAUACUUUAAGUAUCCUAAAGGGUUGUCGGAGACUAUGACGUUGAUAGGUCAGGUGUGUAAGUGCUGUGAGGCAUUGAGCUAACUGAUACUAAUUGCCCGUGAGGCUUAACCAUACAACACCCAAGGGGUUU
rnacentral:rRNA from 1 species